GUUUCUAUGGCGCAAUUGGCUAGCGCGUCUGACUGUUAACACCUUCACAGGUUGCAAUCAGGAGGUUGACAGUUCAAGCCUGUCUAGGAACG
rnacentral:tRNA from 1 species